AAAGCAAGCCAGACAGCCGCUGGUCACAAUCGUGACGGGAGGAAGGUCCGGACACCACAGGGCAGGGUGACGGCUAACGGCCGUCCGCUGAAAGCCGCAAGGUAUAAGGCGAGGAAAAGGGCCACAGAGACGAGCGUAUUAAGUUACGGUGAAACGCGGUAACCUCCACCUGGUGCAAUUCCAAGUAGGCACGCAAUGAGGCGGCCCGUUAAGCGUGCGGGUAGGAAGCUCGAGUGUCGGAGUAAUCCGGCGCCUAGAUGAAUGGCUGUCAUAGCAACCGGUUUUCCGGUUGCCGUAACAGAAUCCGGCCUAUCGGCUCGCUUUUACU
rnacentral:RNase_P_RNA from 1 species